CCCCUUGGGCCCUGGUAAUCAGUAUCGGUUUUACCCCCAGUCCGACGCCCCUGCAAGAAAAUCCUGAUCAAAUGAUCUGGG